AGCAUCAAGAGCUUUGUAUCUUCUGGAAUAUAAAGAAAAUAAAAUUUGACAUGAAUGACAUAUAUAAAUAAAUAUCUAUAUCUAUAUAUUGUUGUGCAGAAACUAGGUUGCCAAACAUAAAAUACUAUUUGUAGCAAAGAAAAGCAUUUUGCUUUGAUUCAGGGAAAGCUGGUGCUGUUUUAGCAGUUUGAAUGGUACAGACACAAUAUCUACCAGUGGGACUUCUUUCCCUUCUACAUCUCAAUCCUGCAGUUCCAAGUUGCUUUUUAAGUAAAAAUAGGAUCCUUUGCAGCCUCAUCAAGCUGCCCAAGAGGUAGGCCUUACGGGAGCCAGCCCUUCCGGACGGAUCGAUUCCGCUUCGAAACUCCUUCAACGGUGCUUUUUUUCAUAUUUCUACUCUUGAUAGCUGGAAACCCUGUUUCUUAACUGAAGCUGUACAUUUUUAUACCAUCUUUAAAAUCCAAGCGUCGGUCUUUUCUUUUCUUUUUUGUAUACAGAAAGGUUUUUUUUUUUUAAUUCUGUGUUUUCUUUGUGUUCGUUUCUAAAAAAAACAAAAACGAUAAAGCUCGUCUGCACGUUGGAGCAAAAUCGAGUCUGCUCUGUUUUAGAGCUGGCGGGAGGGAAUGGCUUAAAUUAGACCGGACUUUUAAAGCUGGUUCCUUUCCUCUUUGUGGGUAGGACUUAGAAGUCAGUAGGAGCCUGAUUUUGUUGGUUUUAUUAUUAUUUUUUAAAGCCUGCAUCAGCCCAGUGGCAUUUUGGAGAGCUAUCUGGGUGGCCUUUCUUACCAACCAUCACUCAGCUCUUCUAAUAAUUUGUGGCAGGAAGGAAGUUGAAAUUGGAGGCGGUGGAUAUAAAACAGAGAAAAAAUGGAACUGUUUUAUUCCCCCUUAUGAGUAUAAAAACUCUCAGCAGAGGGCAAUAACUUCUCCCUGCCCCCAGUAAUUUUCAUUUUCUGUAGAUUUCUCCGUUUCUCCAGAUUUUCGCACUCCUAGGAGGCAUUCCUUGUAGCAUCUAAUUGUAUGAUGGAUGAAGAGCUGUUGGGAGGUUAACAGAUUGGGGGGGAAAGAUACAGGGAGAAGAAAAUCAGGAAUCUGGGCUGUGUAGAACCCAGAACAAAUGUGGGUUUGUGGGGGAGAUACAUGCCUCUCUUCCUCCCCCCCCAAAAAAAUUAAGAGUCAUCCAACAUGUGGAUGCUCCACAAGGGUGAAGAGGGAUUUUUUUUCUGCCUGUUCAUAGAUCUGGAGGUGAAAGGGACCAUUUACGCAGGAAUCUAAGCCUGAGUUUUCGACUGCCUAUUAACUUUAUCUCUGCCUUGUUGAACUGGGAGCAUCUGUGAGAUAGGAGCACCCCUUCUCUUCCCCGUAUCAUUGGCUUUUGGGGAUCCAGGGCGGGCUAUGCGCACCCUGUCUAGAUUCUGCUUUUCCACCAAAGUGUGGAGGAAUAUCAUUCCAGAAGCAUGGUAAGAACCACCAUCAUACUUGGACUUGCAUCUGUUGCUAAUGGAUAAAGUGGCUUGCCAUGAGUUGGGCUUUUGGUCUGCCUGUCCCCAUUGGGUUGGCACAAGAUAUCCCCAAAGAUUUGAGCAGAGUUGCUUGCUUGUAACCGUGAGCCAGCAGUGAGUUGGGUGCAGCUAUUAUACUUCGCUUAUUUGCUUUUUUCCCCUUGGCAAAGAGGAAGAAGCUAAGUGACUCCUAAGUCCUGGUGGUGUGCUCAGGUUUGUUCAACAGCUUAAGGAGGACGAGCAGGAGAUGCUUGGGAGUCCAUAUUGUUGCUUCUGGCUGGUGAGCAUUGCUUCUCAAGUACAGCUCUUAGGGUCAAAGCUUCUGGCCCUUCUUUUGGGGUGGGGUGGGGAAUUGAAUCCAGCCUUGGACCAACCCAAGGAUCUCCUCCAUCAAGCCAAGAGGGCCAAGUCAUUCAGAAUUCCCUUGAGGAAAGUUGCAGUCAUUUCCAUAGUUUUGAAACCUGUUGCAUGGCAGCAAUGCUGUUAGAUAAAUUAUAGCAAUGGAGAAACUCUGCCUCUCUGGAUCCAUUGAAGUGCCAGUUCUACAAACCAUUGACUCCCUAGCAGGGACCAAUGAGGUGGUCACCCAAGAUUACCUGCUCCUGGCUUAGAAGCACGUCCUGCUCCAAAAACUCCCUGAGCUGGCCACUCGUGGGAAUCAAAACUGGAAAGCAUCUAUAAAUACCUCUUUAGAGGAGAGGAAUGAAAUGAAAGGGGGUUGAGGAGUUGGUUAAGAUGGCAGAGCAAACCCUCUAACACUCAAGAGCUCUUCCAUGUUCAGCAGGAAAAAUGAUUCCUAUACUCGCCUUGCCCGCUGGCAUUUUUGUAGUGCUGUGUCCUGUGUAUCACGUUGUGUCCUGCUGCUUUGCGUUGCUGCAUCCCGUUGAUGUCAGUUGCACUUGAGAUAUAGAUAGACCAUGAAUAGGUCUUGGUGGUGUGUGCCAGGAAUGUAAAUGGGAAUUUAAAUUGCUCCUCCUUUCUGGAUCUCCAGUGGUGACUUUAACCUGCUUUCUUGUAUGGUGCUACGUAGGUAAGUCGUCACUCUGGCGGCUAGUGCCGUUCGAUGGUCGUUCCCAAAUAGCUUUCCAUAGGCAGUGUCCGAAAGGAAAAAUCUUUUUUGCAACCUUCCAUUGAACGUUCUUAUUUCUGGUCCUUGCUUGCUGAAAAUACUAGUUCCAAAUUCAGGUGCGAAUUUGUGAAUUUGAGAGCGGGUUGCCAAGAAGAGGGUGUUACUCUGGCCUUCCUGAUCUGUGGAGCAGCUUCCACAGCAUUUUGUAUGCUUCCCCAGGGGAGAUUAACUUGAUCUCCUUCAGCAGGGCGUUAUUGCACGGUUGCGUUCACACCACACCAAGUUCUCCUCGAUGUACGUGGAGCCCAGACAGGGUGCAAUCACCGUGUCUUGCUUUAAGAUUGUUACAGGGCUGGGCUUCAUUGUUGCUCUGUAUAGUGUUGGGCAAAUGUUGGGGGACCUGUGCAGAACUGAUUAGGUAGUGCCAAAUGUCUGUUGUUUUAUUAUCUUCUGCUGGAAUGGAGAAAUUCUUGGUCAUUAUGUUUGAGUGUGAACUAAAUACGAUUGGGACAGAGGGUGCUCCCUGGGUUUUCAGAACUCUUGCAUGUAGUUCUGGACUCAGUAUUCAUUCAAACUUGGAACCACAGUUCUUCAAAAACAGUUGGAACCAAACUGGUUAAAAGGCAACCAUAUUGAGGAUCAUUCAACUUGGGCCUACAGAGUCACACUUUUGGCUUGGAGGUGAGAGUUUUUGGAGCCGGAGAGCAUUCUACAAACGUUCCCACACUGCCCUCUAUUGUUGUCGCAGUCGCUUGUCUUAAAGUUGAGGGUUGCUGAAGAUUGUGCUGUCAGAAAUCCCAAGGGUUUCAUGGGAAUCCAGCAUGCUGGUUGGAGAAUUCUAGGAGUUGAAGUCCAUAUAUCUUCAAGUUGCUGAGGUUGAGAGACACUGUUGUAUCUCACAAGAGUCCAGAGUGAAAGCAAGGAGCAUUACCUUCACUCUGAUUUGGCUUUGGACACACCAUCAAGUGAUGUUCUGGACACUCCUUCCUGAUUCCCACACAGGGACACUGCAGGAAAGUGAGCAGGUGUCCCCCCCCCCUUACCCAGGAGCACAAAUUUGUAACGCUGGUGGUGAUCUCCACCUUUUUAGUCCUUUUUUCACAGACCCUCAAAAAGGCUGAGUGGUCUCUGCAGAUUUUUAAAGUUAUGAGCAGGAUAGCAAAUGUCUGUAAGCAAAGGGAAGGGAAUUCAAUUCAGUACUAAAGGGAUGUGCAGGACAGACUCGAUCCAGUUUGAACAUCUGUUCAAGUUUAUUCUGUUGAUGUGAUUCCAAUUGUUGAUGUGGUUCAGGUCACCCAAUCGAUCCAGAGUUUUUUAAUGAGGUCAUUGAGGUGAUCUGAUCUGGAAAGUUGUUUCAGGUUGGGGGAAACACAUUUGUAGCAAAGCUCACCGAAUCGUCGGUUCCGUCUGAAAGCCUCCAAGUGGAUUGGAUGGCUCGAUCUGAAUUCCCCAUCCCAUCUGGAAAGUUGUUUUGCUACCGAGAUUCAAAGUGUGAUAGGAUCUCCAAGUUUACAUUUUGCACGCCUCUCUGUGCUCGGAACCCCUGUUCCUCACACCAAAGCAUCCAUGUGUGCAGCUUAUCCACGCGUCCGUGUUUGCAUGUUGACAAGACUGGCAAACAAAAAAAUUCAACGACGUGAGAGGCUGUUAUGCUUUCUUCUGGUCUUCUGAAGCCACCGUUGACUCACCUACCUUUACAUAGGGGCCUACCGUGGAUCUCUUCCCCUGUGAAGAUCCAGAACUAAAUGGCUGGACCAGAUCUGCUGAAAGGCAUUGUUGUUUUGAGUUGAUCAAAGAAUUCUCUCCACACGUGAUUUGCGUUGGCUUUGCCAACCAGAAUAACCAAGCCAUCUUUGGAGCCCAGGCUUGAAUCUGUGUGAACAGAUUGAGUGGUAGACAAAAUCUCAGCGCCAUGGAGCAGGUGGCACAGCCAGAUGGCAUAGGAGGGAAAUAAGGGCUUACAAAGGAGUGCAUGCACCUAUCGAUUUGGCCUUGCUAAUUUUCUAAUUUCCCUCCAACGAGUCCUUCUACUUUGCAAAUCCAACAUUUUUUUUUUUUUAAAGGCCUGCGUGGAAACCUGUAUGCCUUUUCUGUGGAUUUCUUGUGUUUUCCAAUAUGCAAACAUUUUGUAGCCAAUUUUCCUCUCACCGCAAUGCACCAUUCGUGUAUUGUGUUCCCUAGUAUAUAGUAUUUGUGUACCUGGGGUUCAAACAGCAUUGCAAACUUCAGAAAAGUAUGAGUUUAGGUAGGCAACCCUGUUGCAGCGUGCGUUUACAUUCAGGCAGCCUGGAUUAGACAAAUAAUAUUUAUCUGCAUACCGAGGGGAAAUUCAGAUGGGCCUCUUUUACAAGAAGGGACAUUUAGGAGAAAGCAAAACCAGUUUAGCAAUUCAAGCAAAGGGGCUCAGAUGGCUUCGCUUUUAAAGUCUGGGACUUGAACUCUGCGUCUUCAGUGGGGUUAGGCGUGUGGCUUAGCUUGUUGAUUUAAAAAAAAAUAUAUGUGGAAGAAAUCAAACUAUCCAGAUUGGUCUAUCCAUGCUGGGGGGGGGGCAGUCUAGAAGGUAAGGUACAAACCCUCUAGCCUGUUUGAAAAACAUUGGGGGGAAAAAACUCUAAAAAGCUGCUUAUGCAAAUAAAAUUGAAAUAAUUGCAAGAAUAAUUUAAAGAACGGGGGUAGCCCAUCCUGUGCCUUACUGUGCUAGCUUGCUAUCUGAUGAGCAUUUUUGUCGUUUAUUUCGGUUUCUUUACAUAUGGUGCAAACAGCUCUUAGAGAAAACACGGAGCAUUGCUUCACUCCAAAGUGGUACAGUACAGUGGACCAUGUCAGGACUCUAACACCCUUUCUGCUACGUGUGUUAAGUGAGCGCCAGGUGAUUAAAAAGUCAGUUGCAUGUGAAUAGUGUGUAACUUGUGUCGUUCCGCAGCAGAGAUGUGCCAACCAACUUUGCAUUUCAUUGGGGACAACCUUGAAAAAAGUCCUGGACAUUGAUAAGCCUGUAAAUGCGUUUUUUUUUUUUUAAAAAAAAACUGCUGGAAGAAUCUUUAGGCUGCCAUGCAAGGGGAAGAUAAUAGCUUUGGCAAGAAAAAAAGAAAAAAUGGUGUCAGUGCAAGCAAAAUUUAAAAAAAAAAAACUUUGAGGGUGGAAUGAUGACAGGAGUGUGUUCACCCUCCAUGCCCAACAUAAGGUCAGGUUAUUGUGGGAAACCAAACAUCUAACCCCUAAUCAAUGUGUUUGUAACAAUCAUGUGCCUUAAAUUUUUUUCUUGUUGGGGGGAUUAGGGAUGAGGUGAGGGCUAGGGAAUAACCCUAACCCUAAAAAAAAAAAAAAAACAAGGUCAAACCAACACUUGUCUUUCUGUAACCUUCCCAAGACCAAUGCGGUAGUUUUAGGCUGGGGGUGGACAGUCCCUUUUUGCAUUGUAUUUGUACUGUACAACAAACAGAUCAGUUUGGUUUUAAGACUAUAGGGAGCGGGGGGUGGAUUUUGCUUUCACACAACCAAUGUUUAACGUAACCCGAAUGUAUUAAUAUUAUUCUAGGGAAUUUCCGUAACCCUGACGAGUAGAAUGCUGAUGAAAACCAGGUGUGUAGGUUUAAGAGUUUGGUGUGUUUUCAAUAAACGAUGCCUGGAACGAA